AAUGACUCCUGUAUGCAUUUAAUAUUAAUUUUUUAAAAAUACGGAGGCUACACAUUUAAACCAGAGCCUUUUGCUGCAUCAUUGUCCUCCAGGCACACUGGGGUUUGGGAGGCAGAGCUUUGAUCCCUGAUGAUCUUUUAGAAGCUUUGUAUAUAAAUGAGCCACUUCACUAUUCACUGAACAAUUCCCAGAACCUUAAAGUCGCUGGACCACAGUCAUCCUUCCUGUGUUGUGCAAUCUACCUUUUAACAGUCUUGUUUGUAAACUUGAAAGCACAAUGAGGGCCUUUCUUGGAGGUUUUAUAAAGCCUUAUCAAAGCAGCUCGGAUGACGACACCUCAGCGCUUUACUUCCACUCUUAAUGUAUUAUUGCUUCAGAGCCCAAACACUCUUGUAAUCGUCUAAGAAAAGACUCGGCAUCUGCUUCAUCUGGAGGAGGAAUGCUGUCUGCAAAUUCUUUCACAAGGAAGAUGCCCUCCACAUUUCUGCUGGCUUGCACAUUCUUUGACAAGAGAGGCGCAGAAAGCAAGGACCCACGUUACAUAACUGCGAGAUACACCCAAUGGCAAACUGGCACAUGCAGCGUCUUACUUGGAUGUGUCAGGAGUCUUGGAAGCUUCACUACCCAACGUUCUCCUACAAAGGGGCCUUGAGCUGGUUUGGAGGUCCUAACAGGGGAGUGCAGCUAUCGCAUACCCUUGACCGAAGAACAGUACACUCCUUCAAUCUGGGAUUGCUGUCCACCGAGCAGCUUCAGGAGGAACGCAGGAGGAGCGGUGAGGGAGGAAGGGGACACCCACCUAGCUGCCAGAUCAGCCUAAUCAACCCUGGCGAUCAAUGGGGUGAAAGAUGUCGCAGCCAGAUCUCCCUCACAUCUUACCUUUAAAGUAAAAGGCUCAAAUAAAUGGUCCGGAAACAGAUGAAUAUUACGCCAUAUGGUAUAAAUUUAUUGAGCAUGUAACUAAAUCUGAGGGCAUUCUUCACACCCACACCUCACACACGACUGGAAAAUUAUGGACUAUAUUUGAAAUAGAUACAGAACCUGCUUGCCAUUGAUUUAAAAAUACUUGUUUGUUUUGUUGUUAUUGUUCUGUUUACUUUUAUGUACCUUAAAUGUGCUGUAAAAACUUAAUAAUAAAAAGGUCUUUAAAUAUUA